CCACCCUCCACAUGGGUGGUCACCACCUAAUCAACUGCCUGUAUGGUUAGAAUAAGCUGACUUGCUGAGUCUUCCAGCCUUCAUCUUUUUCCUGUGCUGGAUGUUUCCUGCCCUCAAACAUUAUACUCCAAGUUCUUCAGCUUUUGGAUUCUUGAGUGGUUUGCGAGGGUCUCACCAACCUUUGACCACAGAUGGAAGGCUGCACUGUUGGCUUUCCUACUUUUGAAGUGUUGGGAUUUGAACUAAUUUACCACUUGCUUCCUUGCUCCUCAACUUGCAGAUGGCCUAUCGUGGGACUUUACAUUGUGACCCUAAUAUUGUGUGGAAAUCCACCUGCCAUGCUAUGAGAACACACAAGCAGCCCUUAUGGAUAAAUUGUAGUGGUGAGGAAAGCAGCCUUUCUGAAGACAUCCAGCAAGGAACAGAGACCUUCUGCCAACAGCCAUCUUGGAAUUGGAUCCUCCAAUUUCUAUCAAGCCCCCAGAUGAUGAUAGACCUGGCCAACCAGUUAAUGAGUCCUUAGGAAGAUUUCAACCCCAACUAUUUAAUACUUGACUAAACUAAGUUAAACCAUCCCCAGAUUCCUGACAUAUGUAAAAACUGGGAGAAAUUAAAUAAAUAAAUAUUAAUGUUGUUUUAAGGCACCAAGUUUUAGGAUAAUGAAUUAAUAACAAAAAGGUGACAAAUGCAGAUUUUGGUAUGAGAAGUGUUACCAUGAGGAGAGGGAACCAAAACUUGAGUGUCCUUAAAACCAGAUAUUGGGAACAAUCUAGAAACAUGUUCAGGAAAGUGUUACUAAAAUCUUAAAGACUGUUGAAAAAACUGUAGAAUCACGGAGGAUUUUGAGGAGGCUAUGAGAAAGGGCUUAAAGAGAAGCAAGACAAAUCAUUUUGGAAGCUGGGAGAAAGAUAAUACCUCCCUUUAGUGGUUAAAAGUUUAUCAGCUCUGCAGCCUGUGCUAAUGUGGGGAAUGGGAAAAUGUGCCUGAUGAACUUGGCUAUAUAGCUAUGGAGAAUUUCACAAAGGAUGUUGAAGGUAUCAACUGUCUUCUUGAUGCUUAUAUUAAAAUUCCAGAGAAAGAGAUAAGUCCAUGAAAGUACUUAACAAAAAUAAGCUGGGUUUAUGGUUUUGAAGAUUCUCAGCCUCUCCAGAUAGCUAAAUUAAGAUAUUAAGAAAUUACUUCCAGGCAAACAUUAAAUCCACAGCGCUCUCAGAAACUAUGGUCUAAAGAUUAAACUGAGGGUGUUACUGUAAAAUUAUUUGUUGAGACCCCAGGGAGAUCAAUGGCGGUGCCUCAGAAGGCAUGAGCUCAGAAAAUAGACACCAGAAAUAUUUUAAACGCAUUUCUCAGGCAUCUUGUGAAUCAAAUCAUGGAGAGUCUCAUAAGAUUAAUAUCAUUUUCCCUCAACAGAAACUCAAGGAAGUGACUGUAUAUCUGAAAUAUAUUUUUGGAAGACUUUUAUGUACUGGAAUGAAUUUCAGUAAAAUUCACCAGAGGCUGAGUGCGGUAGCUCACCACUGUAAUCCCAGCACUUUGAGAGGCCGAGGUGGGUGGAUCACCUGAGGUCAGGAGUCCGAGACCAUCAGAGAUGGCGAAACCCAUCUCUGAUAAAAAUACAAAAUUAGCUGGGCAUGGUGGUACAUGCCUGUGGUCCCACCUAUUCGGGAGGCUGAGGCAGGAGAAUUGCUUGAACGCGGGAGGCGGAGGUUGCAGUGAGCCCAGGUCACGCCACUACACUCCAACCUGGGCGAUACAGCAAGACUUCAUCUCAAAUAAAUAAAUAAAUAAAUAAAUCAAAAUAAAAUAAAAUAAAGUAAACGUCACCAGAAACCUGCAAGUUUUUAAGGGUAUUGCAUUUGCAGAAACACCAACAGAUUGGAUUGAGAAAAGACAGAGACAAUACAAAAUGAGAAGAUAACAUUGACCUCACAAAUUUCUAUAAGCAGUAAACAUGUGGAGAAAUAUGAUCAUCUGCAUACAUGUACUACCUUUCAUGAAAAGGGAAUGAUGUCACAGGGGUAAAAACUAGGGCUUAAAGGUAUAGACCAUGAAUAAGUAUUCCCAGGUCCUGAGUUUUAACCAACAAACUCCAACAUGUGGCAGACUGAAUUUCAGAACUGCUGUAAACUCCUUUGUGCCUUUUUGAACAGAAAUGUAUAUAGCAUUUAUUCUAAACCUGCCUUGCUGUCGUAUGAUGGCUGUGUGUGUAGAAGAUAACUUGUCUCUGGUUUCACAGUCUGAGAAAACUAUAAUCAAGGAGGUAUAUUAAAGAACUGGACCUGAAGAACCUCAUCUUCACGUGUACAUGAUUUCCAUGAAAAAAUUCAGGACAUUGAGCAGAUGUUAUAAUGGUAUGAAAUGUCAUGAUGCAAAUCUAGAAGUUAGGGGAGUGCAUUUUGCAUGUGGGAGGAUGUAAAUGAUUUGUGGCCAGAGAGCUGACUGCGUUUUAAGAUGUCCAUGCGUUCUUUGAUACUUCUCUCUUCAAAAGGUGAAACUUAAUUUCCCACAACGUAAGAGUGUAUUGGCUCACUUCUAAUGAAUAGAAUGUGGUGGAAAUAAUGUUGUUACUUCUGAGGUCAGGUUAUAAAAGACAUUCUAAUUCUCUCCUUACUCUAUCUCUUGGAUCACUCACUCUGGGAAAAACUUUUACCAUGUAAACACUCCUAUUUAUAUGAUCAUUUAUUGAUUUCAAUUAUAUGAAGUCAUUGAAACCCUGAUUUAAAAAUUGUUGAACUUGUUUAGAUUGUCAAAAUUAUGGAGAAAUAAUGAAUAUUAACAAGUAAUGGUGUUGAUUUUUAAAAUUUCUUCUUGGAAUCUAGAAAGUAUCAACUAUUAUAAAUUUUAAUGGAUUGAAAAAUUGAAUGUUAGAUAUCUCCAGCAAACUUUUGGGAAGUAGCAACUUUGUUCAUGGGAAUAUGAGUUAUUACUUAAUAUUCUGAAUAAUCAGCCUAUUUUCCACAAAGUAAUAUACUAAAUAUUUUGGGAGAUUCAUACACUCACGUAUUCCUAAAUUUAGAGGUAACUUAUUUACUCUUUAAUCAGGAGUUUUUUCUUUAAAAUAUGUUUAUAUUAACAAAAGAAAACUUUUACACUGUAUUGAGUAUGUUUGAGACAUGAUAAAUUAGUCUAUUUGAAUAUGAUUUGGCCCACCAUAAUUUUGAAAAUUUUAAGAUGCUUCAAUUUAAAUUAUUGAAAAUAUUUUUAACCCAGGAAUUCUAUAUUCAAUUUUAUGUAAAUAUCUUAAAACAAAUUUAAAUAGAAAAUGUUAUUGUUUACAUUAUUAGAAUACCCAUUAAUAAUAACAAUAAAGAUACAUUAUAUACUUAAUGAUAUUAAAAUAAUUAAAAUAAUCCAUUUCUAUGAGAUUGAAAAGAAAUAUUUUUGAAGGUGCUUAGCUAGGACGUAUGGUACUUUAUAAGAGAGGUCACUAUUCUUAUAUCUGAUAAAACAGACUUUAAACCAACAGCAAACAAAAAGGACAAAGAUGGGCAAUUUCAUAAUGAUAAAGGGUUCAAUUCAGCAAGAAGAUUUAACUAUCUGAUAUAUAAAUGUACCUAACCUUGGAGCACCAAGAUUCAUAAAACAGGUUCUUCUAGACCUAUAAAAAGACUUAGCCACGAAAUAAUGGUGAGAGUUCAACACCCCACUGACAGAAUUGGACAGGUCAUGAAGGCAGAAAACUAACAAAGAAAUCCUGUACCUAAACUCUACACUUGACCAACUGGAAUUAAUAGACAUCUAAAAAAUAUUCUACCCAACAACCACAGAAUAUACAUUUUUUUCAUCUUUACAUAGAACAUAUUCUAAGAUCAAUCACUUGCUCAGUCACAAAGAAAGUCUCAAUAAGUUCAAGAAAUCAAAAUUAUACCAAGCACACUCUCAGACUGGUGCAAUAAAAACAGAAAUCAAUACCCAGAAGAUUUCUCAAAACCACACAAUUGCAUGGAAGUUAAACAACUUCCUCCUGACUAACUUUGGGGUAAACAAUAAAAUUAAGGCAUAAAUAAAAAACACCUUUGUAAUUGAUAAAGAUAGAGAGAUAACAUACCAAAAUCUUUGGAAUGCAGCUAAAGUAUUGUUAAGAGGAAAGUUUAUAGAGCUAGAUGCCUGCAUCGAGAAGUUAGAAAGAUCUCAAAUUAACAAUCUAUCAUCACACCUAGAGGAACUAGAAAGAAAUAAACAAAUCAAACCCACAGCUAGUGGAAAAAAAAUCACCAAAAUAGAGCAGAACUAAAUUAAAUUGAGAACCAAAAAUUGAUUCAAAACAUCAGUGAAACUAAAAGAUACAUGUACGUGUAUAUUCAGCCCAGCACUAUUCACAAUAGUAAAGAACUGGAAUCAUCCUUGAUGCCUAUAAUUGGUGGACUGGAUAAAGAAAAUGUGGUACAUAUAUGCACGGUAUGCUACCCAUCCAUAAAAAAGAACAAAUCAUGUUAUUUGGAACAACAUGUAUGCAGCUAGAAAUCAUUAUCCUAAGUGAACUGAUGCAGAAACAAAACUAAAUGCCACAUGGUCUCACUUAUAAGUGGGAGAUAAAUAUUGGGUACACAUGAUCAUAAAAGUGGGAACAAUAAACUCUGUGGAAAUACAAGAGGAAGGAGAGUUGGAGGCAAGUAAAUGUUGAACAAACUACCUAUUGGAUAUUAUGCUCACUACCCGGGUGAUGGACUCAUUUGUACUUCUAACCUCAGCAUCAUGCAAUAUACCUUUGUAACAAAUCUGCACAUGAUUCUAAAAUAAAAGCUGAAAGAGAAAAGGAAUAAAUACGUUAUUAUGUGAGGUCUCACAAUAGAUAAGUAGAACAAUCUAUGUUCUCAUCAACAUUUUCUUGCAGCUUUCAUUUUAAUUACAUUUGAUGAGUUUGAAAAUUGCUUAUAUUUCAUAUUUUAAAUAUUAAACAUUUUAAAUAAAUUAUUAAAAAUUAAAUAAUAUUGUUCUUUUAUACUGCUUUAACUGAAUGGAUGAAUGAUGCUACUGUUACGUAGGUAGAAUAUGGAAGGUAAUAUUGUUUGCAAGAUAGGUAAUAAAACAAUAAAAAAUAAUUAAACGCAAGUUACUAUCUUGAUUUAGUAAACAAGACAGAGACAAGAGAUGUUGCAUACUUUGAACAGCUUAAAAGCAGUAUUCCAUUCUAUAAAUAAUUCAUACUGAUGAAGAAAAGUAACCUAUGAGAGUAUGAAGUUAAUAUCACUACCAAAGACUACACGUUGCAUUACCAUUCAGUAAGCUUGGUAUUUAAAGCUCCUUUUAAUGAUUUCUUGGAAAAUGAUUAUGCAUAUGUAAAUUAUUCAUUAAUAUGAAAUCAAUUCAUCUAUAGGAUACCUAUGUGUACUAGAAAUACUAGAUAUAUAAUGACUUGGUUUUACUAUUAUACAUGUAAAUAUAUUAUUUUUCAUUUAUAUUAAUGGUCCUGCCUUUGUUCUGUUUGGAAAAAAAUAACGUUUAUUAUUUAAUAUUUCUCAGAUGUCCCCAUCUGUGUUUCUCUGACUGUCAUAAUGUACUCUUCCAGAGCUAGCCAGUGGUUGUCCAGGUGCUGUUGGAAACUACAAGUGUGGCUAAUACUCUUGGGUAGUUAAUUUACUGAAUAACUUGAGGGGGAACAAUUCUAUCAAAUACUGAAAGCAAUAAGAUAUCAGAUGAAAAAAACAUUUUCUUAAGAUUGAUUAAGAAACUGGCACAAACAAGUUUAUUUAAUUAGACCUCCAGGAUUACAGAUUCAUUCUGCCCAGUUAUUACAUGUUAUUUGGUAAAACUUUGGAGAAAUAUUAUUUUAUGCACUAGCUACAGAAAUUCCUAAGAGUAAAAUUAAUUCGACCAAAUAUUAUUUGAGAAAUGAUCAGGAAAUCCAGUUUACGAUAAAUUUAAAUUUUAUGUCAAAGUAUUUUGAAAUGGCAUUGCCAGUACCUGAUCUCAAGUGAUCUGCCUAUCUUGGCUUCCCAAAGUGCUAGGAUUACAGGUGGUGAGCCAUUGCACCCAACCUUCUUUUUGUUUUUUAAUUGACAAAACGUAUAUGUAUUUAUCGUGCACAACAUGAUGUUUUCAUGUAUGUUUACAUCGUGGAAUGGCUAAAUCAAGCUAAUGAACAUAUGCAUUACCUCACAUACUUUUUUUUGGGAUAAUAUCCAAAAUCUACUCUCCUGGCAAUUUAAAAGUAUGCAAUAUAUUGUUACUAACUAUAGUCACCAUGAUGUACAAUUGAUCUCAGGAGGAGUCAUUUCUUGUACCCUCGCUUAAGCUUCCAUUGGCUACAUUUUAGUUCUCUCAUUCAUAUUUACAGCAUAAUCAGUGAAAUAUUUACUAAGGAUGACAUUUUUACGAAGUUGAACUUUAAAAAAAAUUUCAGGAAACAGUCACAUCUUAAAUACAUGUAUUAUUGCUGGAUUAAAGACAAUGGCCUCAGAAAGCACUUACAAAUCAGCAAAAGGUGUCCAAAAGAAAAAAUUCAAGCCAAAAUAGAGACUAUAAGAUUAUAAAUAGAAGCCAGGGAAACUUUGUGAAAUAUGAAGCAUUUUUUAAAUCACAGAAAAGAAAACACAACAAAAUAUAUAAACAUCCUGCAGUCAAUCAAAAUUGAAGUAGAAAUUACAUUGUUUAGAUAUAAAGAAUUAUCAGAAGGAUUUGGGAAAAUCUGGACUCCAUAUAUUGGAGAGGAUGAUAUGUAACAAGUUGUAAAUAAAUUUUAAUAAUUGCUAUCUUUAAAGUCAGGUUGAUGCUGAAAUUAGUGUUUUUCAGCUAUAUAAGUGGUAUUCUAUCCAUAAAGUAGUAUUACAUCUAAUAGCACCAAUGAACCAGGAAAUGACAGGUUAAGCCUACCUCUUUUAAUUUCCUCAGAGAGCUCAUUCAUUUAUCUAGUUCUUCUUUAUGCCAAUUGUUGGCACUGAUAUGUCAUAGUUUUCCUCAUUUCCUUUUUAUGUCUUCUGUAAAAAUGAGUUCCAAACCUUUGUUUUCUUUAUUACUUUUAAAUGCAAAAUGCUCACAACAGUACUUCAACUAGGGUUUUUGUCAUUAGCAAAGACUAAGUAUUUUCUUCUCAGUUUUCAUAAAAACAUUCUAUAAUGAGAAAUAGAAUUAAAUAUUUUAUAUUAAACAGAGGUGUACAGUAAAAACUUAUUGUAUUUGCUAUGAACAAAAAUCUGAUUCCAAUAGAAUUCCAAAAUUAUUCAUACAUUAAAUACUAAUUAUGAUUAUAAAUUUGAUUACAUUAUUGCUGUUAAUAAUUAAAUGAAUAGCUCUUGGUUUCAGUGUGAAUUUUUGUUGUUGUUGUUUUGGUUUUGGGUUGUUUACUUGUUUAUUUAUUUUGAGUCAGAGUCUCACUCUGUCGCCCAGGCUGGAGUGCAGUGGCACAAUCUCUGCUCACUGCAACCUCCACUUCCUGGGUUCAAGCAAUUCUCAUGUCUUGGCCUCCCUAGCAGCUGGGACUACAGGCACAUGCUACCACGCUGGGCUUAUUUUGUAUUAUAUUUUGUAUUUUAGUAAAUACAUGUUGACCAGGCUGGUUUCAAACUCCUGGCUCCAAGUGAUCCACCCACCUUGGCCUCCCGAAGUGCUGAGAUUACAGGCAUGAGCCACUGCUCCCACCCAGCCCAGUGUGAAAUAUUUAAUGGUAGUGCUUCUGAAUUACCCUAAGUUUAAGCUUUAUCAUAUGGACACCAUGUGAUUCUGCAUUAAAAACAUAAUUCUUAAAUAAUUAAGUGAAAGCUAAAAAUUCUAAUUAUAAUUUUUAUGUGCAUAGUUAAUGUUACCAAUUUUUUAAUACUUAAGGAAAAAAGUUAUCAAUAUGUUGAAGCUAAAGAAUUUGCUUUUAACUUUGGAACUACCUAUUCUGCAUAGGUCAUUUUCAUGUAUCACUACACUGUGUAUGUUUAGAAAAAAGAAACUUAGAGAAACAGUUUAUUCUGACAUAUAUAAGAGAAUGCAGAAUUCACAUUUAAAAACAGGAAAACUUUAGCCAAUAUUGCAAAGUGUUGAUUUUUGUCCCUUUGUGUAGUCAAAGCUAUAUUGCCAAUUUCAGAUCAGUGAGACACAAAAUAUUUCUUACUGCCAGAAUGUCUAUGAGGUUACUAUCCCUGGAAAGCUCAUUCAGCUUUAAAAUAUUCAGGUUUAAAAUCUCCUACAUUUCUACUAUGUUAAAUACGUUUGGGGAGGCACCAUCUCUAAGUCUAAAUGAUUCUAUGUAAUAGUGAAAUGUUCAAGAAAUGCCAUGUAAAUAAGGCAUUUUCAGUUAAUUGAUGUGUCCUGUGAGGUAUUAUAUUUAUGAGAUAUUUAGAAAUACAGACAAUGUAAGUACAGGUAAAAUUCUGUUAAUAAGAGGCAGUAUUAAAAUAUGAAAUUAAGAAAAUAGUUUGAAUUAAAUUUAAAAAUGGAAUAAUUUUUGUUAAUUGUGGAACACUCAAUCUGAGUUAAACAUAUUUUUAUUAAUAUCAUAAUUUAUAUUAUAAUUUUGUAUUAGACCAAUAAGAUGACAUAUUUUUAAAAUAUUUGAUUAAAAUCCUGGUGAUGGUCAUAGCAGGAUGCAUCACAUGCUAUUUCAACGUUGAUAUAUGCACAUAAGUAACUGAAUGUUGGAUAACUUUUCAUGAGCUUUAUAUUUUUAUUUCUAACUUUUUAAAACUUUUGGAUCCAAGUGGUACAUGUUCAGGUUUGUUACAUGAAUGUAUUGUGUGAUGCUGAAGUUUGAGCUUUAGUUGAACCCAUCACUCAAAGAGUGGACAUAAUACCCAAUAGGCAGAUUUUCAGCUCUUCCCUUCCACCCUCCUUUUCUUCACUUUUGGGAGUCCCCAGUUUUUAUUGCUCCCAUUUUUAUGUCUGUGUCUACCCAAUGUUAAACUCUGACUCAAAGGUUGAAAAUAGACCCAAGGUUUAAAACAACAAAAAAGAAUAGAAAUUAUGCAUUAUAUAUUCUAUUCUUGGAAAUUAAAGAAAAAUUGUAUUUGUUGGCAGUAUAAAAUCAUUUUGUAUUUCUAUCUAUAAUUACAUAAAUUAGCUGAAGUCAUAUGUAGCCACAAUAUAAUAAUGAGUAAAUGUGUUAAUAUUUCUAAAAGACAUUUGAUGUUAGAGAAAAUGGAAAAUAAAAUGCUUCUGUGCUGUUAACAAAAUAUGAGCUAAUUAACACUUUCUUCUCAUUUUUUAGCUACUGCUUUAAAAAUUGUUUACAAGUUUUCCCAUUUGACAGAAAGUACACUGCUUUUUUCAAUCAUUAAAAUCCCUAAUUAAACA
rnacentral:lncRNA from 10 species